rnacentral:lncRNA from 10 species
GGAUAUAGUAGCAAAACUUUGGAAAGACUCCUAGUGUCCAACCAUUGGGAAGUGGUUAAAUAACUUCUGUCCAUCCAUUCGUUCAAUGGAAUGGUAUGCAGCCAUUUAAAAUGGUGCUCGUGUGCAUUUUUGCUGCCAUGGAAACAUAAUAAUCAUGGUAAUAGUGUUUAUAAUGUGCCAGACACUGCUCUAAGACUUCACAAGGAAUAACUCAGUUAUUCCUCCCAGCAACCUUGUGGUGCAGAUGCAAUAUCAGAAUAAUCCCCAAGUUACAGAUGGAGAAGCAGCAGCCAGUAAGGCAAUGAGCCAGGACUUAUAGCCCACAUGGCAUUGAGUGUUUCCUAACUGUUUACCACUCUGCCUCUCACUGUGACCACAGAGAUGGAAAAAUCAAAGACAUGAAACUGCAUGUCCAGGUUAUCCCAGUUUUGCUGGGAAAGAUGUUUAUUAUGCUUAGAAGAAAGACUGGAGAGGAAAACAUCUGCGAUGUUGGUAGCUCUGAGUGGUAGGAUUAGGAGUAGUUCUCCUCUAUUUUUGGAUUUUCUAGGUUCUUUACAACAAUUGCUGUAUUAGCUUUAUAAUAAAAAUAGAGAAAGUGAAGGGGGGAGGUCUUACAGUUGCUGAGAUGUUGAACUUCACUGUCUACUACCUGUGUGACCUUAGGAGAGUUACUUUACCUCUCCGAACUACACUUACUUAGCUGGUAAUUGGGAACCACCUAGUUUUUAGGAUUGUUGUGAGGAUAAGAAACUCUAUAGGGAUGGUCCUGAGCAUGUUUGUGGUUAGGUCUAUUUCUUGCCUUUCCCUGACUCUGGUCUGUAGGACAGGGGAAUGGGAUGAUCCCCAGAGGCUCCUGUGUCAGCUGGCUUCCAGCUGGGCUCAGCCAGUGGGAAGCACUCUUAGGAGAUUGCCGGGUAGGAGGAAGAGAGAAGCCAGCAUUUUCCUCCCCCUGUCUCUGCCUCCAGUGUGUUCUCAGGCAGUGGUUGUAUCUCCUCUGUGGUUUUGUGUUUUCAGCUCCUGCCAUGGAAGUCCUCUCAGGUUCCAGCCUCCAUUGGGUGAUCCCAGCUCUGGGCUCCAGUAACCCCACUUCUUCCCUCUGUGCCUCCAUCCUAGAGGUGGGAGUUUCCUGCUAUUUCCAACUUUUGGAUUGCAUCGCUGUCCCCUGCUCUUGCCAUCCCUCUCUGCUGCUCAAAGACCUUCUGUGGCUCCCGACUUGCCUAACCUGUUGGAGUCAGUCAUAUACUGCAGUGAUUUGUGUUUCGGACUUCCU